UGAAUUCCAGUGAAUUACACU
rnacentral:piRNA from 1 species